AGUAUUCGGGCUAGCAAAUGUGCAAAGAGGUUUAUGAAAAUAUUACAUUUUUCUGCUGUUAUGUAUUUUUGUGGAUUUUUCUUCUAGCCUUUGGAAAAUGAAGCUAUCCAAAUAUUAAGAAGGAUACUUGUGACACAAAACAACUAAAACCAUGAUACUGAAACAAAUGCAAAGGUUACACAAAACCGCCAUACCACAGGACACAAGACAAGUUGUGCUAGCUGUAUCUAUUAUACAAUAUACUUUUACUACACCGAUUUCACAGCCAAAUCAGAAGUCACUGUAUAACUGUGUUGCCACAUAAUCAUUUUUCAUCUUCAGCAUCUAAAUUAAGUGGGACUAACCAACAAAGUCCCUCUUCACUUUCAGCACAAUCCCAUUCCUGCUCCACAGGAAAGGAAGAACAUAUGUUUUGUAAGAUCAGCAAGCUCCGAGCAAUCCAGUGACGCACGUGGAGUAGCUACUGGAUCAGUGGGUAUCUUGUAUGUAUGUCAGGAGUAAAGCACGACUCUUCUGACUUCAGGGGACAGAUGCCAUGCUAUCCUCUGACAAAUGCUAUGCAGAAUCAAGAUCAUGUUGAAAUUCUGCAGUUGCUGAAAAUCUCACUGACAACACCCUAGACUUAGUACUUUCCUGGUUAAGACAAAACUUGAACAGUGUUUCCAGGCAUACCACAUUUUUGCAAUGGGUAUUUCAUAACUAUGGCAAGGCUGUCUUUGGAGAGAUUUGGUUAUACUCCAGAAGGAUAAGGUUAAAUAUCACCAUAUCAGCAGCCAUAUGAAGCAAGGCUUUUAAAUAAACAGUUGUUAA